GAAAGUAGGAGCUGGUUCUGGUGGAUUUUCCAGGUUGGUUUGCUUGAGAGUGCAUCCGUCCUUUAACCUCUUACAUCCCAUGAAAACUUUUGUCUCAUUCACUUCUGUUGAUGGAUCAAAGCAUGAAAUUCGACCUGAUUCUGGGGAUCGAUUUUAUGAAGGGAAUCUUAUGCCAAAUGGAGAAUGGAUGCUUGUUGAUAAAUAUCUUGGUAUUAGAUUGGUCAAUCGAUUUAACGUCAACGAGGUCUAUAAGUGUUUCAUCCACUGGGGAACAGGAACAGUUAAUCUAGAGCUGUGGUCCGAAGACAGGCCUGUAUCAAGGCAAUCUCCUCUCAGAAUUUCCC
rnacentral:misc_RNA from 1 species